GAGGUGUGCUCAGAGUAGGGGGCCUGAAGAAAUGGCUCCUUUGCUUACAACACACCCAAUAGGAAUCUGGGUUCAUUGUAACAAGAGGCACAAAAUUUGUGGUCUUCUAUGAACAAGUAUCCAACACAU
ensembl:snoRNA